GACUACUAGGGUAUCUAAGCCUGUUUGCUCCCCACGCUUUCGCUUCUCAGCGUCAGGUAAUGCCCAGAGAACCGCCUUCGCCACCGGUGUUCCUCCUGAUAUCUGCGCAUUCCACCGCUCCACCAGGAAUUCCGUUCUCCCCUGCAUUCCUCUAGUCCGCCCGUAUCAAAAGCAGGCUCAGGGUUAAGCCCUGAGUUUUCACUUCUGACGCGACGGACCGCCUACAAGCCCUUUACGCCCAAUAAUUCCGGACAACGCUUGGACCCUACGUAUCACCGCGGCUGCUGGCACGUAGUUAGCCGGUCCUUCUUCUGUAGGUACCGUCACUUUCGCUUCGUCCCUACUGAAAGCGGUUUACAACCCGAAGGCCGUCAUCCCGCACGCGGCGUUGCUGCAUCAGGCUUUCGCCCAUUGUGCAAUAUUCCCCACUGCAGCCGCCCGUAGG
rnacentral:rRNA from 1 species